rnacentral:rRNA from 1 species
UAGUCCACGCCGUAAACGAUGGUUACUAGCUGUUUGGUUUAUACUGAGUGGCUAAGCGAAAGUGAUAAGUAACCCACCUGGGGAGUACGUUCGCAAGAAUGAAACUCAAAGGAAUUGACGGGGGCCCGCACAAGCGGUGGAGCAUGUGGUUUAAUUCGAUGAUACGCGAGGAACCUUACCAGGGCUUAAAUGUAAGUUGCAUUAGUUAGAGAUAGCUAUUUCUUCGGACUACUUACAAGGUGCUGCAUGGUUGUCGUCAGCUCGUGCCGUGAGGUGUCAGGUUAAGUCCUAUAACGAGCGCAACCCCUGUUGUUAGUUGCCAGCAUGUAAAGAUGGGAACUCUAACAAGACUGCCGGUGCAAACCGCGAGGAAGGUGGGGAUGACGUCAAAUCAUCACGGGCCCUUACGUCCUGGGGCCACACACGUGCUACAAUGGUAGGUACAGCGAGCAGCUAUUGGGUGACCAUGCGCUAAUCUAU